CAUGCAAAGUCAGAAAUGAACAAAAAUCCCUUAAUCAUAGGGAUUUUUGUACGACUAUCAUCUUCCCUUUGUAGUAUAAAAUGAAUGAUUGUAAAUCAAAGAAAGAUAUCAAGUAAUACAAUUACAAUCUUUAGUUUCUCUUUCUCUCUGCAUUAUGAUGAUACCAUGUUUCAACAUGGUAUCAGAGCAGGUUCAACCCUAGGAACUCAGAAACGAAUCAUCAUCGUUCAUAAUCCAAAACCAAAACCGUUCCUAGCCAAUUCACCAAAUCAAGGCAGACCCUGUUCUUCAUUUCCUGAAAAAAAAAAUGCCAGGAGAGAUUGAAACCAUAAACCAAACAGAUUCAAAUAACCCAAAUCCAAACAGAAUCCACAGAAUGGGUCGAAGAGACCCAAAUCCAAUCAACUGCAAUGAAGAAGGGAUUAAUAAGCACCGAAAAUUAAUCGGAAAUUGCCGAUUAUUUCAGUUCCUCCCUGGAUUCGAUGGCAGAUAUGAUAAACUUUGUCGGGACAUUCUCAAGAAAGUUCUCAUUCCCUCAGUCGAGUCGGCGUUCUCAAAAGUGAGGUGGGAGGCCGCCCGGCUACAGCCGGCAACCAACCCGGACCCUUCAUCAUCGGGUUCCAGCAGCGGCGAUUUCUCGCCGGCGCCGAUGCACGGCGCGCAGCUCACCGUCGCGUACCAGGGCGUCCCCGGCGCGUACAGCGAGGCCGCCGCCGGGAAAGCGUACCCUAACUGCGAGGCGAUUCCCUGCUGUGAGAAAGCUCACACUAACAAAGGCGCAUGGACUAAGGAGGAGGACGACCGGUUGAUCGCCUACAUCCGCGCCCAUGGGGAAGGCUGCUGGCGCUCCCUCCCCAAGGCCGCCGGCCUCCUCCACUGCGGCAAGAGCUGCCGCCUCCGCUGGAUCAACUACCUCCGCCCCGACCUCAAGCGCGGCAACUUCACCUCCGUCCCGACCUCAAGGGCGGUCAAGAGAGAGAAGUGCCCGGAUUUGAAUCUUGAGCUGAGAAUCAGCCCGCCGUAUCAGCAGAAUAUUCAGACUGGAGAGGAGAAGAAAAGACACGAAAAUGGGGAAGGAGCGGCGCAUGAUUGUGGAGGAAAAGGAAAAAUAGGUAUAGGGUUUGGUGGCUUGCCACUAAACCCUUCAACUUUUGCUAAAUUAUUAAAUAGACCCCACUCUAUGCAAAGUGACCUCCCUACUAUUGUUAAAUAUCAGAUUGGCCCCCAUUUGCAACCUAGUCCUCCAUUAUCUAGAGAUUUAUACAAAAUACCCCAUAAAUUACAAAACCACCCCA